UAGGAAUGCUGGUACCUCAGCAACCUUUACAACCCAUGUGAACAUUACCACUGUUGCCUCGGCGGGCAAAUCCCCCAGGGAUGGCCCGCCAGAGGAUCCAAACUCUUGUCUCCUGAUUUGGCAUUCUGAGUACGAUUUGAAAAUAAAUCA
rnacentral:misc_RNA from 1 species